AGCCGCCUGGCUGACCGUACGAGACCCUGCUGUCCAAGUUACUGUGCAUCAUCAACAACAAUCAUCACAGGUGUAAAGGUCCUGAUUGGGUGACGCGAGAGACAAUGGGAGCUUCCCCCUCCACCUGUGUGCUUAAUGACUCAGGCUGUGAAAUUGAGAUCUUAUGCCCUGUACGGCAUCUGAAGCUCCAUACCAUUGAGCUGGGUGCCAAUGCAAAGGCAGAGGCUUCUACAAAAGAAGGGCUCAGCGGAACGGUAACUAACUGCAGCAAAAUAAUCCUCAGAAAAGACGAACGAAUUUGUUCCCUGAGAUUGCCAGAUAAGGAUUUCGGCAAAAUUAAGGGAGGAGGACGUCUACUCAUGACUGUCGUCAGGAGGCUUGGUUCUGAAAACGAAGAAAUAUGUGUUAACUAUCCUGUUCCCAGAAACAAGGCGCUGUCUGUGCUACACAAGACUGUCAAGUUGGAAACAUAUAACAAAGAAACAAUGAAAAAGUGGCAAAAAAUCAUAAAGGAAAAAGCUGGAAAUUAGUUUAUUACAUGACUGUACAGCCUGUGCCACUAUCACUGAAUUGCUUCUCAGAUGAGCGCAAGUUUAAUUUGUAUAUCGGUCCUUAUUCAUACGGACAUCCAGAGAGGCCACGAGUGGUCCAUCAAAGGGCAGAUAGACAGACAUACACAUUCACUCACACCCAGGGGCAGUUUACCAUGUCCAGCUGGCCUGACUGCAUGUCCUGGGACUGUGGGAGGAAACCCAGACAGACACAGGGAGAACACAGCUCCACACAGAGAGGACCCUGGUCGCCGGGGAAUCGAACCCAAGCCCUUCUUACUGUGACAGCAAUACCAACUGUCCCACCGUAUCUCAAGAUACCAGUCCAGAACAUUAUAACCACCUCAUGGCCUCUCCAGACUUCCAUAUGGUUGAACUUUACUAAUUAAGAUGAUUUCAAAGUAUUUGAGCACGAUAAUAAACGAGAAACACUGCUUUGUGGUCCUUAAAGCUAAGAAUGUGUAAAAUGUCCCCGUCUGCUGUUCGUGUGUGUAGAACUAACGGUCAGUGAGGCCGAAUGAUUUCUGUCAUUUGUAGCUUUUGUUUCUUUCAUAUAAUCCUGGAGCUUCCUGGACUUAAACUCUGCAAGUCUUGGUUGGAAACAAAAGGGUUCAAAUCUUGAAAACUGUCCAGUCAGGAUGUUUCGUGGAUUCGUUUGUAAUACAGGUCAACACUGAUAGACGGCUAGCUAUUAAACUAGAACCACUUCACGUUCUGCAUGUUGGUCUAUCUAUUAAAGAAACCACAUGAAAGAGAACGUGUGAUGAACGAGUUCCUCUCUGGAGAAAAUUCCACUGAAUUAGACCUGAAAGCAGCACAACUGCUCACAUAACGAGGAGCCGACAGUGGAACCAACCAGUCAGUUUUCAUUUGCAGCAGUAAACAUCACUUCUGAAAGGUCUAGAUAGGCCUUCUGUUCUAGAUACUCCACUGGCUGUAAAUACGAGUUGUAGUCUAAGCAGGUUUCCCUUAGUUGUUAGGCAUGGAAACAAGUUCACUGGAACUUACAAGCUUCAAAUAAACAUGGAACGUCUUUUACAAG